UACGGGGGAGCAAGCGUUGUUCGGAUUUACUGGGCGUAAAGGGCGCGUAGGCGGUCGUGACAAGUCACUUGUGAAAUCUCCGGGCUUAACUCGGAACGGUCAAGUGAUACUGUCGGACUAGAGUACAGAAGGGGCAACUGGAAUUCUCGGUGUAGCGGUGAAAUGCGUAGAUAUCGAGAGGAACACCUGCGGCGAAGGCGGGUUGCUGGGCUGACACUGACGCUGAUGCGCGAAAGCCAGGGGAGCGAACGGG
rnacentral:rRNA from 1 species